rnacentral:lncRNA from 1 species
UAGUUUCCCCGACAAAGGGUUGAUGGAAACAGACCAAUGGUCAAAUUAUCUGUCAUUAAUUUUGAGCUGUCAAUUGAGUCUGUCAAACGAGUCGGACUGUUUAGUUUACACCGAACUUUACAAGAACAAUUAAAGUUUAUUACGAAUUUCAUAAGCUGUAAGCAGUCAGAUUGAAUGUUUAAGUCACACAAAAAGUACCUUGGUGAGAAACCGAUCAUUCAGUGCUAUUGAAAAUACCAGGUGGAAACAUGUCAUAUGCAGUAAUAAUAAUGCAGAAAAACGUGCAGAUUCUACGCCUAUGCACCGUUCUGACCACAAACUCGAGACUGAAGCAAAAACAAAUCCUACUAAGACCAGCCCAGGUUGCCCAGGCAGGUGCUUGAUAGAAGCUACCAUCUGUCCUUAAAGGAAGCCAAUCAGAUGCACUGAUUUUUUCAUAAUCCCCUGCAUUUCAUACAAUGGGCGGAAAUUGAAAAAUCUUCGCUCAAUUUUUGUUAAAAGGUUGGUGCUGAUUUCUUUGUUAAUUUUACGUCUAGAAAAUCCCCAAAUUAAGGUGCAGUCAGUCAUUGCACGUACAUAAAUAGAAUGAAUUGCUGCUUAUUGGUAGAAAUUGAUAAUUAUUCAGCUUUUUGUCUUUUGCACUGAGUGUCGGUUAAACACAAACUGUGUGUGUGGUUUAAUUGAAAUUUUCAUCUGAUCCUUCUUUGACUUUACCUCUUUGGUACCUAUUAGACCAAAAAUAAGAAGUCUAAGUAUUUAUAUUAUAAUAACUAAAGUCUGUUUGUUGUAUUAUACUAUUGAAAUAAGAA